AGUCAGCAGGUGGCGGUAUAGCACCUCCAAACUCAUUGGAUAAGCGCCAACAAGCCCAAAGGAAGAAGAAGUUGAAAUUGGUUCCGGAGGAGCUCGGGGGUCACACAGGAGGGGAGUGAAAGCUAAACCCUAAAAUCCUUCAAAAUGCUGUUACGACGGGUGUUGCGUAUCGGUUCUUUGACAUUGAAACACAGCAGAUCCAUCCACCACAGUUCGAUAUGCCGGACUCCACUCAUACCCAUAGUUGUGGAGCAGACGGGGAGAGGAGAACGAGCAUAUGACAUCUACUCUCGCCUCCUCAGAGAGAGAAUCAUUUGUGUAAUGGGUCCUAUCGAUGACUCCAUAGCCAGUCUGGUUAUUGCCCAGCUGCUCUUCCUACAGUCAGAAAGCAACAACAAGCCCAUCCACAUGUACAUCAACAGUCCUGGUGGUGUGGUGACAGCAGGACUGGCCAUUUAUGACACCAUGCAGUACAUUCUGAAUCCCAUCUCCACCUGGUGUGUUGGCCAAGCGGCAAGCAUGGGCAGCUUGCUCCUGGCAGCAGGAACAACAGGCAUGAGGCAUUCACUGCCCAAUGCUCGCAUCAUGGUUCACCAGCCUUCAGGAGGGGCCAGAGGUCAGGCCACUGACAUUGCUAUCCAGGCUGAAGAGAUCCUGAAGCUGAAAAGACAGAUCAACAACAUCUACGCCAAACACACGGGCCAGUCACUGGAGACCAUUGAGAGUGUGAUGGAAAGGGAUCGCUACAUGAGUCCCAUGGAGGCACAGGACUUUGGCCUCAUCGACCGGGUCCUGGUCCACCCACCACAGGCAGGGCAGGAUGAGCCAGAGCUGGUGCAGAAAGAGCCGGCGGCAGCAGCAGCAGCAGCGAGCCCCUCGCCACAGCCAGAGUCCACAGAUCCUGAGAAGGCCUCCCCUGGGACAAAUCCACCCUCCUCAUACAAACCAGAGCCAUGAACGCACCACAGUAGAGCUGCUUGCCAUCUGCAAGAUCAUCUUCAGGAGUCAAGAGAGCAAGACCCAGCUUCCCCGUGUUUCUCCUCCACUCAGCAGUAGCUUACACAUGAGCAGGACCCAAGCCGGCCUCAUGUACAGUCAUCACGGUCACAUCUUUUUAUGAUGGAAGGAAAGCAGUGUUUCAUCUGGGUGGACUUUGGUCCUUUCUCUCUGAUGGCUGAGCUGUACUGUACAUGAGCUUGUUUAGGGGGAAAGCUUAUUAAGAGUACAGAGACAUCUGUUUCUCUCUCCUGGCCGAUGUCCACUCGAGACCGGAGAGAACCUGAUUUGAUGACCUGAUGGUGAAUAUUUGUAAUAAAUAUGAUCAGUUAAACAUGACUCACAAAAUGUACCACUUCUUGAUCCAGUAGUGCACCAUUAAGUUUUCAGCUGUAGGUUAAAAGCUGUGUUUGAAACUUUGUAUUUUUAUUUUUUAUUAAUUUUGUCACACAAUGAAACAAAGUAACAUUAUUAGAUGAAUUCAUUAAAAAACAAUGACAGAAACCAUCUGCCUAAAACUGUAAAGUUGUUAAAACAGCAACACUGUAAGAAAAUGACAUAACUUAAGACUGCAGCACAGGAACACGAAGACAGACAUCGUUGGCAUUUAAGAUGCGCAGCCAUUUAACGCCACAGGAUGUCGUCUAUAACAACUUACCACACAGUAUCAUCUUUGUAUUUCCAUUAAGAAGUUAGAGAAAAAUGAAUAUGUGCACAAUAACACAACCAACCUCUCAAAAAAAAUUUUUUAAUUACACUUCUACAUGAAAUAGUACAAGUUUUAUCAGUUGAUAGGUCAGAAAGGCAAUUUUAGAAAGCUUAUGAAAAUAUAGUGUAACAAUUACUCCUAUUAUCAUAAAUUAUGCUUAACAUGUAACACCAAGUGUGUCAUAUUUGAUAGAUGAGCUUUUAUGAGAUUUUGAGACCUGAACUGUUAGUGUACUUUUGGUUUCCCACCCAAAAAAUAAAUAGGACAAUGCAUUUUUAAGCAAUGAGUUGUACAAGUGUAGCGAAGAUGUAGAAAGACUGAUACAAAUUAAAACUCAUAUUCUAAUUAGUAUUUUUUUUUUUUGUAAAUGUCAGAAGAUUGAAUAAA